rnacentral:rRNA from 1 species
AUUGAACGCUGGCGGCAUGCCUUACACAUGCAAGUCGAACGGCAGCACGGGAGCAAUCCUGGUGGCGAGUGGCGAACGGGUGAGUAAAGUAUCGGAACGUGCCCAGUCGUGGGGGAUAACGUAGCGAAAGUUACGCUAAUACCGCAUACGAUCUAUGGAUGAAAGCGGGGGAUCGCAAGACCUCGCGCAAUUGGAGCGGCCGAUAUCAGAUUAGGUAGUUGGUGGGGUAAAGGCUCACCAAGCCGACGAUCUGUAGCUGGUCUGAGAGGACGACCAGCCACACUGGGACUGAGACACGGACCAGACUCCUACGGGAGGCAGCAGUGGGGAAUUUUGGACAAUGGACGCAAGUCUGAUCCAGCCAUGCCGCGUGCGGGAAGAAGGCCUUCGGGUUGUAAACCGCUUUUGUCAGGGAAGAAAAGGCUCCUUCUAAUAUAGGGGGCUCAUGACGGUACCUGAAGAAUAAGCACCGGCUAACUACGUGCCAGCAGCCGCCGUAA